GGCUGGCCCAAGUGCAGUGGUGUUUACAACUAAUUGAUCACAACCAGUUACAGAUUUCUCUGUUCCUUUGCCACUCCCACUGCUUCACUUGACUAUUAA
ensembl:Y_RNA Y_RNA Y RNA